GAUGAACGCUGGCGGCGUGCUUAACACAUGCAAGUCGAACGGAAAGGCCCAAGCUUGCUUGGGUACUCGAGUGGCGAACGGGUGAGUAACACGUGGGUGGUCUGCCCUGCACUUCGGGAUAAGCCUGGGAAACUGGGUCUAAUACCGGAUAGGACCACAUUUUGGAUGGUGUGGUGGAAAGUUUUUCGGUGUGGGAUGAGCUCGCGGCCUAUCAGCUUGUUGGUGGGGUAAUGGCCUACCAAGGCGUCGACGGGUAGCCGGCCUGAGAGGGUGUACGGCCACAUUGGGACUGAGAGACGGCCCAGACUCCGACGGGAGGCAGCAGUGGGGAAUAUUGCACAAUGGGCGCAAGCCUGAUGCAGCGACGCCGCGUGGGGGAUGACGGCCUUCGGGUUGUAAACUCCUUUCGCUAGGGACGAAGCGUUUUUGUGACGGUACCUGGAGAAGAAGCACCGGCUAACUACGUG
rnacentral:rRNA from 1 species